UAGUUAAUAGCUGCAUUAUUUGACGUUAGCGACAGAAGAAGCACCGGCUAACUCCGUGCCAGCAGCCGCGAAAUACGGAGGUGCGAGCGUUAAUCGGAAUUACUGGGCGUAAAGCGCAUGCGGUUGGUUUGUUAAGUCAGAUGUGAAAGCCCGGGGCUCAACCUCGGAAUAGCAUUUGAAACUGGCAGACUAGAGUACUGUAGAGGGGGGUAGAAUUUCAGGUGUAGCGGUGAAAUGCGUAGAGAUCUGAAGAAAUACCGGUGGCGAAGGCGGCCCCCUGGACAGAUACUGACACUCAGAUGCGAAAGCGUGGGGAGCAAACAGGAUUAGAUACC
rnacentral:rRNA from 1 species